GCUGGGCAUAGUGGCACAUGCCUGUAAUCCCAGUGGCUCAGGAGGCUGAGGCAGGAGGAUUGAAAGUUCAAAGCCAGCUUCAGCAAAAGUGGGGUACUAAGCAACUCAGUGAGACCUUGUCUCUA
rnacentral:sRNA from 1 species